rnacentral:rRNA from 1 species
AGUUGUAGGCUUUGCCUGCUAUCUCUUACCCAUGUCUUUUGAGUACCUUACGUUUCCUCGGUGGGUUCGCCCACCGAUUGGACAAAUUUAAACCCUUUGCAGUUGAAAUCAGCGUCUGAAAAAACUUAAUAGUUACAACUUUCAACAACGGAUCUCUUGGUUCUGGCAUCGAUGAAGAACGCAGCGAAAUGCGAUAAGUAGUGUGAAUUGCAGAAUUCAGUGAAUCAUCGAAUCUUUGAACGCACAUUGCGCCCCUUGGUAUUCCAUGGGGCAUGCCUGUUCGAGCGUCAUUUGUACCUUCAAGCUCUGCUUGGUGUUGGGUGUUUGUCUCCUGUAGACUCGCCUUAAAACAAUUGGCAGCCGGCGUAUUGAUUUCGGAGCGCAGUACAUCUCGCGCUUUGCACUCAUAGCGACGACAUCCAAAAGUACAUUUUUACACUCUUGACCU